AUACUUAACCUGGCAGAGCAGACACCAUAAUCACAAAGGUGGAUUUCCCAAGGCAAGACUUACCCAUUGCACUCUGGAAAUGGUGACCCUGUGAUUUUCUCAAAUGUGGGAAACUCGGCCACAUAAUUUGUGGUAGUGGGAGACUGCAUUAAUGUUCCACCUG